GAAGUGGACAAUGCUGGUAGAUCCACUGAGUACAUACCUAGGGAUUUGCCCACAGAUGAGGGUCCUUCAACCUCAGCACACAAUCUAAGCAGGUUGCCAGCAAAGGAGCUGUAUAAGGUCCAUCUUCAAAAACAAAUAAGAAAAAGUGACAUGGAGAUGGACCUUAUACAGCUUCAAAUGGAAGAGAAAAGGCUCCUCAUUAAAAACGC